rnacentral:rRNA from 1 species
GGCUGCAACUCGCCUACAUGAAGUCGGAAUUGCUGUAAUCGCGGAUCAGCAUGCCGCGGUGAAUACGUUCCCGGGCCUUGUACACACCGCCCGUCACACCAUGGGAGUCGGUAACACCCGAAGCCUGUAGUCUAACCGCAAGGGGGACGCAGUCGAAGGUGGGAUUGAUGACUGGGGUGAAGUCGUAACAAGGUACC